rnacentral:rRNA from 1 species
AACGUAGGGGGCGAGCGUUGUCCGGAUUUAUUGGGCGUAAAGCGUGCGUAGGCGGCUGCGCAAGUCGGUUGUGAAACCCCGGGGCUCAACCCCGGAACUGCAUCCGAUACUGCGUGGCUAGAGGUAGGUAGGGGAGAUCGGAAUUCCUGGUGUAGCGGUGAAAUGCGCAGAUAUCAGGAGGAACACCGGUGGCGAAGGCGGAUCUCUGGGCCUUACCUGACGCUCAGGCACGAAAGCUAGGGGAGCGAACAGG